UGGGGGAAUAUUGCACAAGUGGGGGAAACCCUGAUGCAGCGACGCCGCGUGAGUGAAGAAGUUAUUUCGGUAUGUAAAGCUCUAUCAGCAGGGAAGAAAAUGACGGUACCUGACUAAGAAGCCCCGGCUAACUACGUGCCAGCAGCCGCGGUAAUACGUAGGGGGCAAGCGUUAUCCGGAUUUACUGGGUGUAAAGGGAGCGUAGACGGCAGGGCAAGUCAGAAGUGAAAGCCCGGGGCUCAACCCCGGGACUGCUUUUGAAACUGUCCGGCUGGAGUGCAGGAGAGGUAAGCGGAAUUCCUAGUGUAGCGGUGAAAUGCGUAAGA
rnacentral:rRNA from 1 species